rnacentral:lncRNA from 1 species
GAGAGAACGUUGUCAAAAAAUUGUUGUUCGUAUUAUUUCUUAAAAAUUAAUAUAACUGUUGUCUAAAAUUUGUAUUUUUUUUUCUUUUUCACAUGGAAUUUGUUGACAGUUUGUAUUGAUUUAACAAGUUUAUCGCGUGUCUCACUCGUUGUUCAAAAAAGGUUUUCGUCGUCGUCGAAUCCUCUUAUUUAUGUGGCAGGUUAGAAUCAUCGACUAUGGCACAAUGUUGGGAGAUAUUUUAGUUAUCUCUCGACGUCUUUGGGUAAUGAGUAGGUUAGUUAUCAUCAACUACAGCACAACGCUCAACCCCUUGGCACUACCCGUAUGUAGGCUACAAUUCUCAAUGUUGGUAGGAGCAGUUGAGGUUACUGAAACUGCUCAAGCUUUAGAGGCAUUCUUUGUGAUCAAGAGAGUACUUUGCUUUGUGGAUUCUCAAGAUUUAUUGGCAUUUCGAAUAGCUUGCAUGUGUAACUGCUUACGUUCAUGCAUGAUUUAAAGUUGUCAUGGGAUAGAGGGCAGAAUGUGAUUUGUUGCUCUGAUUCCUUGCAUGUUAUAAACUUAAUCCAAACUCCUCUCACUGUUUGGCAUGUUUAUGCAACUAACAUUAGAAAUAUCGAGAGGCAAACGAGUGUGUAGAUUUUUUAGCUAAACAUGGUGGCAAUCACGAUUCUUCUUGAUGCAGCUUGGAGAACUCCAUCUCAUGCUUAGAAGAUGUGCUUCUUGUAAUCUUGUUGAUGUUUUAUAGUGCAGUUCCUAAGGUUGUAGCCAAGUUUCUUUUUCUUUUACUUUUUGUUUUUUCGUUUUGUUAUACAUGUAUCAAAAAAAGUUUAUCGUGUGAGAGAGAGUAAGUAUUAAAACACUGAAUACAUGUAUUAGCUCUAUAUUUAGAUACAAGACCUUCUUAAAAAAAUUAUGUCUCUUUUUAUAAAAUCUUUUCAAAAAAUUUCAAUUACGUUAAUUAUUUUUUUCACCGACAUACACCUUCCACUUACUAUUAUAAGCAAACCUUUGCAUUUUAUAUUUAUUCAUUAAAUUAUGUAUGUGGUCUAUAAUAAAGACCAUAUACAUCAUUAAUUGAAUGAAUUUAAAAUGCAAAGUUAUACUUAUAAUAAUAACAGGAGGAUAUACUAUUAUAAUUACGUUACAUGGUUUUUUGCAAUAUAUAAUAAAUGCAUCACUCUAAUGUAAAAUGUGAACUUACCUCAGUUGGUUGGGAUAAUGCAUAAAAUAUGCAAGAUUCGGGAUUGAAACAUCGGCCACCACCAAAAAAAAAUUGGGCUAGUAAAAAUAAAAUUGAAAAUCUAAUCCCAAAUCAAAUACAAUUUCAUCGAUGAUGUUGAUCAUUUUUUAUCCUCAGAUCAUAUACCACGUUAUUUAAAAUAUAGGGUUAAUUAAGUUUUUAGUCCUUAUAAAUAUUCACAGUUUUGUUUUUAAUCUCUACAAAAUAAAAUCACACUUUUUAGUC